UGCAAGUCGAGCGGUAGAGAGAAGCUUGCUUCUCUUGAGAGCGGCGGACGGGUGAGUAAUGCCUAGGAAUCUGCCUGGUAGUGGGGGAUAACGUUCGGAAACGGACGCUAAUACCGCAUACGUCCUACGGGAGAAAGCAGGGGACCUUCGGGCCUUGCGCUAUCAGAUGAGCCUAGGUCUGAUUAGCUAGUUGGUGAGGUAAUGGCUCACCAAGGCUACGAUCCGUAACUGGUCUGAGAGGAUGAUCAGUCACACUGGAACUGACACACCGUCCACACUCCUACGGGAGGCAGCAGUGGGGAAUAUUGGACAAUGGGCGAAAGCCUGAUCCAGCCAUGCCGCGUGUGUGAAGAAGGUCUUCGGAUUGUAAAGCUCUUUAAGUUGGGAGGAAGGGCAGUUACCUAAUACGUGAUUGUUUUGACGUUACCGACAGAAUAAGCACCGGCUAACUCUGUGCCAGCAGCCGCGGUAAUACAGAGGGUGCAAGCGUUAAUCGGAAUUACUGGGCGUAAAGCGCGCGUAGGUGGUUUGUUAAGUUGGAUGUGAAAUCCCCGGGCUCAACCUGGGAACUGCAUUCAAAACUGACUGACUAGAGUAUGGUAGAGGGUGGUGGAAUUUCCUGUGUAGCGGUGAAAUGCGUAGAUAUAGGAAGGAACAU
rnacentral:rRNA from 1 species